rnacentral:rRNA from 1 species
GACAAUAACUAUGAAUAAGGUGUAUCAAUAAGAAUCAGCUGAAACCUGUACCAGAGAUGGUGAAAGUCCCAGUAUUAUUGAUGUAUCUAUUGUAUCCCGAGUAGCUUGAGACACGUGAAAUCUCUUGUGAAUCAACGAGGACCACCUCGUAAGACUAAAUACUCUUGAGUGACUAAUAGUGAACUAGUACCGUGAGGGAAAGGUGAAAAAGAACCCCUGGAGGGGAGUGAAAAAGAACAUCAAACCGGAAACAGACAAACAGUAGGAGAAAUUAAUCUAUAUUUUGACUGCGUGCCUGUUGAAGAAUGAGCCGGCGACUCGUAUAAAAUGGCAAGGUUAAGAAUGAUAUUCGAAGCCUUAGUGAAAACAAGUCUGAACAGGGCAUUAGUCAUUUUAUAUGGACCCGAACCCGAGUGAUCUAACCAUGACCAGGAAGAAACUUGGUUAAAACCAAGUGGAGGUCCGAACUGACCAAUGUUGAAAAAUUGACAGAUGAGUUGUGGUUAGGGGUGAAAUGCCAAUCGAACUCGGAGCUAGCUGGUUCUCCUCGAAAUGCGUUGAGGCGCAGCAUUUAGAAUUUGACUAAGGGGUAAAGCACUGUUCCGGUGCGGGCUAUGAGAAUGGUACCAAAUCGUUGCAAACUUAGAAUACUUAAGUCAAUAACUAAAUAGUGAGACUAUGGGGGAUAAGCUCCAUAGUCGAAAGGGAAACAGCCCAGAUCAUCAGCUAAGGCCCCUAAAUAAUAGCUAAGUGUUAAAGGAGGUAUGAAUGCUAAAACAACCAAGAGGUUUGCCUAGAAGCAGCCAUCCUUAAAAGAGUGCGUAACAGCUCACUGGUAAAGCGUUCAUGCGCCGAAAAUGAAAGGGACUAAAGCUAUUUGCCGAAGCUAUGAGCUUUUAUAAGCGGUAGAGGAGCGUUCUGUUAUAGGGUGAAGCUAUAUUGUAAGACGUAGUGGACGAAACAGAAGUGAGAAUGUCGGCUUGAGUAACGAAAACAUUGGUGAGAAUCCAAUGCUCCGAAAAUCUAAGGAUUCCUUUACUAGGCUCGUCCUUGAAGGGUUAGUCAGGACCUAAGAUGAGAUCGAAAGAUAUAGUCGAUGGUAAAUAGGUUAAUAUUCCUAUACUUAUUUUUCUUUUGUACAGAGGGACGAAGAAGGCUACAACAGCAAAUGAUUGGAUUUUUGUUUGGAUAAUAAGAUAGUCCGUCGAAUAAAAACUUUGGAAUUAUCAAAUUAUCUGAAGGCGAUAAUCUUCGGAUUGUUGUCUUGUUGAAUGUCAUACUUCCAGGAAAAGCUCUUAUUACUUGUAAGAAAAAUAACCUGUACCAUAAACCGACACAGGUGGAUUAGUAGAAUAUACUAAGGAGCGCGAGAUAACUCUCUCUAAGGAACUCGGCAAAAUAGCUCCGUAACUUCGGGAGAAGGAGUACCCUUAAUUGGGUGACAGUACAUUGACCCAGGCGACUGUUUAACAAAAACACAGGUCUCCGCAAAGUCGAAAGACAACGUAUGGGGGCUGACGCCUGCCCAGUGCCGGAAGGUUAAAGAAGUAAGUUAUUCUUCGGAAAAAGCUUAUGACUCAAGCCCCGGUGAACGGCGGCCGUAACACUGACGGUCCUAAGGUAGCGAAAUUCCUUGUCGCGUAAGUUGUGACCCGCACGAAAGGCGUAACGAUCUGGGUACUGUCUCAGAGAGAGACUCGGUGAAAUAAACAUGUUCGUGAAGAUGCGAACUUCUUAUACCUGGACAGAAAGACCCUAUGAAGCUUGACUGUAUCUUGAAAUUGAAUUUAAGUUUGUCUUGCGCAGUCUAAGUGGGAGGCUAUGAUGAUAUUUUUUCGGAAAUUUCUGAGCCAACAGUGAGAGACCACUCUAGGCAUUCUAAAAUUCUAAUAGUGAUUUCUUUUAUCAGAACACUUGACAGUUUUAGGUGGGCAGUUUUUUUGGGGCGAAAACCUCCUAAAAAGUAACGGAGGUGUACAAAGGUUCCUUUCAAACUGGACGGAAAAUCAGUUGGAGAGUAUAAAGG